rnacentral:lncRNA from 1 species
AAGCAAAUCAGCUUAGAAAUAUAGAACGUUUAAUCAGAUUUCAUUGUGAUGGUAAAAACAAUUCAGAAAUUUUCUGAUACUAGAUUUGUUUUACUAUCCUUUGGUGCCUACAUCAGGUGACAGGUUUUUAUCAUGAUGAGCAAUAAUUUAUUUCUGUGAUUAGUACUUUUGUUAGUAUUUUGUUUGAUUUCAUGACCACCAGGGUCCCAUUAGUGGUUUUCAAAAAAAUUAUAGUCUUUUUAUCUUUUGAGCACACGAAACAUUGAAAGCCAAAUAUUUUUAAGAAAGGAAUAACUUUUCCA